CCCUACGGGGCGCAGCAGUUGGGAAUAUUGGACAAUGGAGGAAACUCUGAUCCAGUGACGCCGCGUGAAGGAAGAAGGUCUUCGGAUUGUAAACUUAUUUUAUCAGGGAAGAAAAAAAUGACUGUACCUGAAGAAGAAGCACCGGCUAACUACGUGCCAGCAGCCGCGGUAAUACGUAGGAUGCGAGCGUUAUCCGGAUUUAUUGGGUUUAAAGGGUGCGUAGGCGGACUGUUAAGUCAGCGGUAAAAGCCCGGGGCUCAACCCCGGCGAGCCGUUGAAACUGGCUGUCUUGAGAUGUCGAGAGG
rnacentral:rRNA from 1 species